UUGACUGGCAUUGACUGACAGCAAUGGCUUUAUAAAACAUCACAGCAGUGGCUUCAUGUGGCAAGUGAUGCUUUUUUCUUCUUCUUCAUCACACAGUUGUUGACACUUUGCCUAUAUGUGCUGCAUGUAAGCUUUUGGAGGAUUGUGUUCAGAUAGGUGCAAGAGAAAUGUGUACAGAAGAUAUACAGGAAAGAGGGUAAACCAGUUGUGUAGGACUCCUGAUGACCUCCAGCUUGUAAGAGAAGAGGUAUCCUUUGAAGUAAAGCUUCAGCAAACAUCUGAGCAACUUGUCUUCAUUUCAGCAACUUCUGUGAAUUAAGUAGGUUGUAAACCAU